UUUAUAACUUUCUUAUUUUAUUAAGGAGGGUUGAGAAAAUUAGUGGAAAUUAAUUUAUUAGGGGAGUUAUUAUGUUGGGGCGACAAAAGUAGAAUUGGAUAUCUGCUUUAUUUUUGUAACAAAAAUUUUUGGAUGGUUAAUUGAUCCUAAGUAUAGAUUGUAAGUUUAAGUUACUUUAAGGAUAACAGC
rnacentral:rRNA from 1 species